rnacentral:snoRNA from 1 species
CAGCUGGAUGAGGAGGACAUCAUCAUCUACCUCCUCACCGGCCUGGACUCCACCUACGACCCACUCGUGACCUCUGUCACCACGCGGGCAGAUGAGAUCUCGCUCAAUGAGCUCUACUCUCAUCUCCUGGACUUCGAGC